rnacentral:piRNA from 1 species
CCUGUAAUCUUGACCCCAGCAUAC